rnacentral:sRNA from 1 species
UUCUGGGCAGCCACCGGUCUAAGUUCCUUGGAACAGGACGUCAUAGAGGGUGAGAAUCCCGUAUGCGACCGGACAGGCACCCUCCACGUAGCUCCUUCGACGAGUCGAGUUGUUUGGGAAUGCAGCUCUAAAUGGGAGGUAAAUUUCUUCUAAAGCUAAAUACCGGCCAGAGACCGAUAGCGCACAAGUAGAGUGAUCGAAAGAUGAAAAGUACUUUGGAAAGAGAGUUAAAAAGCACGUGAAAUUGUUGAAAGGGAAGGGUUUGCAACCAGACUUGCUCGCGGUGUUCCGCCGGUCUUCUGACCGGUCUACUCGCCGCGCUGCAGGCCAGCAUCGUCUGGGGCCGCCGGAUAAGACUUUAGGAAUGUAGCUCCCUCGGGAGUGUUAUAGCCUAUUGUGAUGCGGCGCGUCCCGGGCGAGGUCCGCGCUUCGGCUAGGAUGCUGGCGUAAUGGUUGUAAACCGCCCGUCUUGAAACACGGACCAAGGAGUCUAGCAUCUAUGCGAGUGUUCGGGUGUCAAACCCCUACGCGUAAUGAAAGUGAACGGAGGUGGGAACUUUUUGUGCACCAUCGACCGAUCCUGAUGUCUUCGGAUGGAUUUGAGUAAGAGCAUAGC